rnacentral:tRNA from 1 species
CUCUGGUUAGGUCAUUUGGUAGAACGCUCCCCUGGAAGUGGAGAGGUCCCGGGUUCGAUACCCGGACCAGGCG